CACCACUCACUUGCCAACCAUAGCUCAAUGUUUUGUGAAAUCAAGAAAUAAGGGUAGGGUUACCCUUACCCUACAAAGAAAACACACACAAAUAUUUAUCUCGAACUUCACAUCUUUUGUACAUUUGUCACAUGAGGAAAGACAUUUAUAAUGAUACUAUGUCCCAUAGGCUUUGUCAGCUCUCAUUAAAUUAUAAUUCAUGGAAUUUUAUCCUCCUUUUACUGCAAAUUCCUAAGCUGUCAUAAUACAUUAUCCAAAUAAUAAAUAAGCAAAAAGCAUAUGUGUGAAACAAAAAUAACAAGUUAUAGCAAUUCUUGAAGAAUAUUUGGCUAAAAUUGCAUUUCAGCCCCACCUCCUUAUGAGUUUCAACAUCUUUUUUUUUAAUUUUAUAUGCUUGAUCCCCUGUUGUUUUCAAAAUGUUAUAACUUCUCAUUACAUAUUUUUCAAUUUUUUCUAUGUAUAUAUUGCGUCUAUAUGAAUAAAAUCUCAUAUUAAAAGUGGAAAAGAAAAAAAAUUAUUUAUAAGGAGUUGAAUAUUCUUAAGGGUGUGGGGCCUUUAAAAUCGUACAGGCUUGGUUCAAAAUGGAUAAUAUUACACAAUGUUAACAGUAUCAUUGAAUCAUUUUAGGCCAACAAUUGGUAUCAGAGUCAACGGCUUGGCGGGACUGUGGAAAUGGCGGAGUAUGAUGUGGUGGCCCGAUGUAAUACCUUUGUCCAUCUACGAGCUUUAUGACCUUUACCCGUAGCUUUGAAGACGCAUACACUGACUUUGAGCUCCGAUGAAAUACUUAAGCUCACGUGGGUGAUAUACAAUUAAUCUCCAAUGUUGAUGCAGUUGAAGACUGGAUCUACGAAGAAUCUAGGAGCUAAGCUUGAAAAAUAGAAGAAGCUAAGCCAGAGUAGUGCCGAGAAAAUAGGUUAGAGAAUUUAGAAGAGAAAGAGAAUUAUUAUUCUGAAU
rnacentral:lncRNA from 1 species